UACGGGGGGAGCAAGCGUUGUUCGGAUUUACUGGGCGUAAAGGGCGCGUAGGCGGUCGUGACAAGUCACUUGUGGAAUCUCCGGGCUUAACUCGGAACGGUCAAGUGAUACUGUCGGACUAGAGUACAGAAGGGGCAACUGGAAUUCUCGGUGUAGCGGUGAAAUGCGUAGAUAUCGAGAGGAACACCUGCGGCGAAGGCGGGUUGCUGGGCUGAUACUGACGCUGAGGCGCGGAAAGCCAGGGGAGCGAACGGG
rnacentral:rRNA from 1 species